AUUGAACGCUGGCGGAAUGCUUUACACAUGCAAGUCGAACGGCAGCACGGACUUCGGUCUGGUGGCGAGUGGCGAACGGGUGAGUAAUGUAUCGGAACGUGCCCAGUCGUGGGGGAUAACGUAGUGAAAAUUACGCUAAUACCGCAUACGAUCUAUGGAUGAAAGCGGGGGAUCGCAAGACCUCGCGGGAUUGGAGCGGCCGAUAUCAGAUUAGGUAGUUGGAGGGGUAAAGGCCCACCAAGCCAACGAUCUGUAGCUGGUCUGCGAGGACGACCAGCCAAACUGGAACUGAGACACGGUCCAGACUCCUACGGGAGGCAGCAGUGGGGAAUUUUGGACAAUGGGCGAAAGCCUGAUCCAGCCAUUCCGCGUGCAGGAUGAAGGCCCUCGGGUUGUAAACUGCUUUUGUACAGAACGAAAAGGUUUCUACUAAUACUAGGAGCUCAUGACGGUACUGUAAGAAUAAGCACCGGCUAACUACGUGCCAGCCGCCGCCGUAA
rnacentral:rRNA from 1 species